rnacentral:rRNA from 1 species
CGGGCGGCUGCAGUGGGGAAUAUUGCGCAAUGGGCGAAAGCCUGACGCAGCAACGCCGCGUGCGGGACGAAGGCCUUCGGGUCGUAAACCGCUUUCAGCAGGGACGAGAGUGACGGUACCUGCAGAAGAAGCCCCGGCUAAAUACGUGCCAGCAGCCGCGGUAAUACGUAUGGGGCAAGCGUUAUCCGGAUUUAUUGGGCGUAAAGCGCGCGUAGGCGGCUUGUUAAGUCAGGUGUGAAAACCGGGGGCUCAACCCGCGGACGGCACUUGAAACUGGCAGGCUUGAGUCUGGUAGAGGAAAGUGGAAUUCCUAGUGUAGCGGUGAAAUGCGCAGAUAUUAGGAGGAACACCAGUGGCGAAGGCGGCUUUCUGGGCCACGACUGACGCUAAGGCGCGAAAGCUAGGGGAGCAAACAGGAUUAGAUACCCCGGUAGUC